rnacentral:rRNA from 1 species
GACGAACGCUGGCGGCGUGCCUAAUACAUGCAAGUUGAGCGCUGAAGGUUGGUACUUGUACCAACUGGAUGAGCAGCGAACGGGUGAGUAACGCGUGGGGAAUCUGCCUUUGAGCGGGGGACAACAUUUGGAAACGAAUGCUAAUACCGCAUAAAAACUUUAAACACAAGUUUUAAGUUUGAAAGAUGCAAUUGCAUCACUCAAAGAUGGUCCCGCGUUGUAUUAGCUAGUUGGUGAGGUAAAGGCUCACCAAGGCGAUGAUACAUAGCCGACCUGAGAGGGUGAUCGGCCACAUUGGGACUGAGACACGGCCCAAACUCCUACGGGAGGCAGCAGUAGGGAAUCUUCGGCAAUGGACGAAAGUCUGACCGAGCAACGCCGCGUGAGUGAAGAAGGUUUUCGGAUCGUAAAACUCUGUUGGUAGAGAAGAACGUUGGUGAGAGUGGAAAGCUCAUCAAGUGACGGUAACUACACAGAAAGGGACGGCUAACUACGUG